rnacentral:RNase_P_RNA from 1 species
GCCGCUCCCCGGACGGUCGCAAUGGUUUCGCAAGAAGGCGUUGAGGAAAGUCCGGACACCACAGGGCAACGCGCCUCAUGAAAGUGAGGGACGGGUAACGCGAGGAACCCGGACGGAACAGUAAAGAUACCGCCGAUGGCCGCAAGGCACAGGUAAGGGUGAAAUGGUGGAGUAAGAGCCCACCGCGAAUCCGGGUAACCGGACGGCACGGCAAACCCCGCGUGGUGCAAGACAGAACAGGAAAAGGGCGGCCCGUCCGUUAAUUUCCGGGUAUUAGUCGCACUCUGUGCAAACAGGGCGCUCCGCUCCGGCGGGGUGAGAGAAAUGGCCGUCCAGCUCCGCAAGGGGUGGACAGAAUCCGGCUUACAGGGGAGCGGCACUC